rnacentral:lncRNA from 10 species
GGUCCUUUAAGGUCUUGAACAUCGGUUUCCUGACUUGAGCGGGGCCCAUGCCCCUGCCGAGGAGGCUCAGCCUGGAAGCAGCUAGCCCAUUUCCUAUCUCCCCCACCACGACCCCAGCAAGGAUCUCUACUUGACUUACCUCCUUCAGGCAACCACCUAGAAAAUCGUUGAGUUUGUUCAUGUCACAAGUGAAAGUAUUUUUUCAUGCAUUCAUCGUUGGCACGUCGUCCUUUGGCAAUAUUAAAAUCUACCAACAAAUGGGAAAAGUUAACAUUUGCACCAUCUUGCCAUAUUCAAAAACCUUGUGCUUAAGUGUUUUGAAAAGACAGGGUUUCACCAUAUUGGCCAGGCUGGUCUCGAACUCCUGACUUCGUGAUCUGCCCACCUCGGCUUCCCAAAGUGCUGAGGUUGCAGGCGUGAGCCACCGUGCCCGGCCGCGUUUCCUACUCUUUAAGCUCUGUUAGCUUGGCCUCUGUCCCUGAAGGUGCAGCUUCAAGCUUAGGACCACCCACCAUGCCUAUCCAGGUGCUGAAGGGCCUGACCAUCACUCAUUAAGAACAGAGGAGGCUGCCUGUUACUCCUGGUGUUGGUGAGAAGGCAGAUGUAGACAGCAUCCCUCCAGACACUCUGCUGUUUCCUGCCUAGGCGUGGCUGCAGCCAUGGCUAGGAAAGCGCUGCCACCCACCCACCUGGGCCAGAGCUGGUUCUGCUCCUGCUGCAGGGACACUGAGCUGGCUAUCUCGGCGCUUCGGGCAAGAACUGCAACAGGCUCUCCUGGGUCCUGCAGGUGUACAGCCGGGCCCCUGCCUUGUGCCUCAGCUCUCGAGAGCUGCUGCUGCCGGGUGACCUGAUCCAACCUGAUAAGG